rnacentral:rRNA from 1 species
AAUGAACGUUGGCGGCGUGGAUUAGGCAUGCAAGUCGUGCGUAAAGAGUAGCAAUACUCGGAAGCGGCGUAAGGGAGAGUAAUACAUAGGUAUUUACCCUGGGGUCUGGGAUAGCGGCGGGAAACUGCCGGUAAUACCAGAUGAUAUCUCCGGAUCAAAGGUGUGAUUCCACCCUAGGAGAAGCCUGUGGUCUAUUAGCUAGUUGGCAGGGUAACGGCCUACCAAGGCAAAGAUGGAUAUGGGGCGUGAGAGCGUGCCCCCACUCACUGGGACUGAGACACUGCCCAGACACCGACGGGUGGCUGCAGUCGAGAAUCUUCGGCAAUGGGCGCAAGCCUGACCGAGCGACGCCGCGUGCGGGAUGAAGGCCUUCGGGUUGUAAACCGCUGUCGAAGGGGAGGAAAUUGUAGUGGGUUCACCCAUUAUAUUGACCGAUCCUUGGAGGAAGGGCCGGCUAAUCUCGUGCCAGCCGCCGCCGUAACAC